rnacentral:rRNA from 1 species
UACGUAGGGUGCAAGCGUUGUCCGGAAUUAUUGGGCGUAAAGAGCUCGUAGGCGGUCUGUCGCGUCGGCUGUGAAAACCCGGGGCUCAACCCCGGAAUUGCCUUUAAGACUGCAUCGCUAGAAUUGUGGAGAGGUAAGUGGAAUUCCGAGUGUAGAGGUGAAAUUCGUAGAUAUCAGGAGGAACACCGAUUGCGAAGGCAGCUCGCUGGGACGUUACUGACGCUGAGACGCGAAAGCGUGGGGAGCAAACAGG